GCAUCGGUAGUGCAGCGGUUUAGCACAUGCUCCCGUGAGAGUAAGAUGUGGGUUCAAAUCCCGGUUGACGCA